AACUAAUUUCAUCUUCAUAAUAUCUCCAUCCACUAAAAAUUUGAGCCAACCUAUUAAAGUAGGAAUCUUUCAACAUAAUUUGAGCCACCAACAUUCACAGAGUUUGCAAUCUAAUAAAGAUUGAACGCAUUGUGAGAUAUGAGAUCUUGGACUGCACAUUGGUUGAAACAUAUCAAUCUCUCCAAGUUCAAAACUUCAUACUUAUCCCUAAUUUAAGUUGUUGAGAACUUUUUUUUACUUAGUAUCAUAAGCAAAGAUUGAAGCAAUUAAGUAAUGUAUAUUAAAGCAUUCAAAAUUACAACAAAGCAUGUCAUAUCUCUGUUUCCAAAGCCAGCCAUCUAAAGCAAGAAAGAUAAGAGUCCGACUUUUUUUCUUUCUUUCCUGGAUUGGGUUUUAUAACAGUCAUUUAAUUAUGUGAGAUAGGAUGCCAUAUGGGAAAUGAAGGGUUAGACGAAGAUGGUAUUGAGAUAGGAUAGACAAAACACAGAGGAGAUGAAUAGAAAAGAAAAUUAGAAGAGUGGUGUAUUUGAUCAAUGAGAAAAUAUGCGUGGAUUAGUGAAGGAGUUAUGCAAAAAUACAGGGUUGGAUACUCAAGACUUCCUAAAAAGUAGCAAUGAUGAUGUAGUCAUCCCUAUAAAAUAGUAAUAACCAUAAAUACCUAUCCCCCCUCCCCUACAAAGUAGCAAUUAUGAUUCACCAACAUGGGUUCCAAAUUUAUCUGCAUACGUAAAAAAGGAAUAAAAAGUUGCUUAUAAAAAAAAUAAAAAUAAAAAGGAGUUUAGUUGCUUAAUUAGUGUGUUUCUAAUUGGACAUUGCUAUCUACUUAAUACUGUUUCACAUUUGUUUAAACACCAACUAAUAAGAUCAAAACUCUAUUUAAACACCAACUAACCAACAUAAUAUUAUGUAACCAAUACGUGUGAUUGGGUAGAGAAUCUUAAAAAUAGUUUCUAACCUCGGUAGAUUCAAUGAGAUCCUCAAUAGUCAUCUUUGGGGUCUACAGCAAAUCAUCGACGACACUAUGCAUCACUGGUCCGAUCAUUUGAUUAACCACUUGACUCAACUACACAUUAGCAACAUUCAUCAUUUAUUUAAGAAAAUAGACAAUGAAGCACCAAAGAGUAGCUAAAGGAAAUUCAAGCAACCAGCAUAGAAGAAUCACCUUUCUAAGUUUCUAUAUAAUUAGAUACCUCAGGAAUCUGAGCAUUCAACAACAAUUCUGAUCCAUAAAAAGAAUUUGAAAUUUACAUAGCACAUACUCAAAUGGAAACAAAAAAAUAAACCACCAGAGCUAUAUUUCAAACAAUAGGUGAAAAGGAAGUAUUUUCCUACUAAGGUACUUCUUAAGCUUGCAUAGUUGUAUUAUGAUUACC
rnacentral:lncRNA from 1 species